CAGCCGCCGCGGUAAUACGAACCGUGCGAACGUUAUUCGGAAUCACUGGGCUUAAAGCGCGUGUAGGCGGGCCGCCACGUCGGCUGCUGAAAUCCCCCGGCUCAACCGGGGAGGUGGCACCGAUACGAGCGGCCUCGAGGGGGGUAGGGGGGACCGGAACUUCCGGUGGAACGGUGAAAUGCGUUGAGAUCGGAAGGAACGCCCGUGGCGAAAGCGAGUCCCUGGACCCUUUCUGACGCUGAGACGCGAAAGCCAGGGGAGCGAACAGGAUUAGAUACCCCAGUAGUCCCUGUCUCUUAUA
rnacentral:rRNA from 1 species